GAUGAAGAACGUAGCGAAAUGCGAUACGUAGUGUGAAUUGCAGAAUUCAGUGAACCAUCGAAUCUUUGAACGCACAUUGCGCCCGCCAGCACUCUGGCGGGCAUGCCUGUCCGAGCGUCAUUUCAACCCUCAGGGCCCCUUCGGGGGACCUGGCGUUGGGGAUCGGCCCGCCCCCGUGCGGCGCCGUCCCCGAAAUAUAGUGGCGGUCUCGCUGCAGCCUCCCCUGCGUAGUAGCACACCUCGCACUGGAGAGCGGCGCGGCCACGCCGUGAAACCCCCAACUUCUGAAUGUUGACCUCGGAUCAGGUAGGAAUACCCGCUGAACUUAAGCAUAUCAAUAAGCGGAGGA
rnacentral:misc_RNA from 1 species